rnacentral:rRNA from 1 species
UGGGGAAUUUUGGACAAUGGGCGAAAGCCUGAUCCAGCCAUGCCGCGUGAGUGAUGAAGGCCUUAGGGUUGUAAAGCUCUUUCGCCGACGAAGAUAAUGACGGUAGUCGGAGAAGAAGCCCCGGCUAACUUCGUGCCAGCAGCCGCGGUAAUACGAAGGGGGGCUAGCGUUGUUCGGAAUCACUGGGCGUAAAGCGCACGUAGGCGGAUUGUUAAGUCAGGGGGUGAAAAGCCUGGAGCUCAACUCCAGAACUGCCCCUUGAUACUGGCAAUCUCGAGUCCGAAGAGGUAAGUGGAACUGCGAGUGUAGAGGUGAAAUUUCGUAGAUAUUCGCAAGAACACCAGUGGCGAAGGCGGCUUACUGGUCCGGUACUGACGCUGAGGUGCGAAAGCGUGGGGGAGCAAACAGGAUUAGAUACCCUGGUAGUCCACGCCGUAAACGAUGGAGGCUAGCCGUUUGGCGAGCAUGCUCGUCAGUGGCGCAGCUAACGCAUUAAGCCUCCCGCCUGGGGGAGUACGGUCGCAAGAUUAAAACUCAAAUGAAUUGACGGGGGUCAUAGCUGUUUUCCCU